AUUAUUUUGGCAGAAUUUAAUGCAAUAAAUUUAGGAUUUAUUCAUAUAUAAUUUAAUUUAUAUAAAUGAUA
rnacentral:tRNA from 2 species